AAUUAAUGAACUUGUUAAAGUAUUUGUUUUGAAAACUUAAAAAAGAAUUAAAAAUUCUAUUAAUUU
rnacentral:tRNA from 1 species